rnacentral:rRNA from 1 species
GGGUUGUGAGGUUAAGCGACUAAGCGUACACGGUGGAUGCCCUGGCAGUCAGAGGCGAUGAAGGACGUGCUAAUCUGCGAUAAGCGUCGGUAAGGUGAUAUGAACCGUUAUAACCGGCGAUUUCCGAAUGGGGAAACCCAGUGUGAUUCGUCACACUAUCAUUAACUGAAUCCAUAGGUUAAUGAGGCGAACCGGGGGAACUGAAACAUCUAAGUACCCCGAGGAAAAGAAAUCAACCGAGAUUCCCCCAGUAGCGGCGAGCGAACGGGGAGGAGCCCAGAGCCUGAAUCAGUGUGUGUGUUAGUGGAAGCGUCUGGAAAGGCGCGCGAUACAGGGUGACAGCCCCGUACACAAAAAUGCACAUGCUGUGAGCUCGAUGAGUAGGGCGGGACACGUGGUAUCCUGUCUGAAUAUGGGGGGACCAUCCUCCAAGGCUAAAUACUCCUGACUGACCGAUAGUGAACCAGUACCGUGAGGGAAAGGCGAAAAGAACCCCGGCGAGGGGAGUGAAAAAGAACCUGAAACCGUGUACGUACAAGCAGUGGGAGCACGCUUAGGCGUGUGACUGCGUACCUUUUGUAUAAUGGGUCAGCGACUUAUAUUCUGUAGCAAGGUUAACCGAAUAGGGGAGCCGAAGGGAAACCGAGUCUUAACUGGGCGUUAAGUUGCAGGGUAUAGACCCGAAACCCGGUGAUCUAGCCAUGGGCAGGUUGAAGGUUGGGUAACACUAACUGGAGGACCGAACCGACUAAUGUUGAAAAAUUAGCGGAUGACUUGUGGCUGGGGGUGAAAGGCCAAUCAAACCGGGAGAUAGCUGGUUCUCCCCGAAAGCUAUUUAGGUAGCGCCUCGUGAAUUCAUCUCCGGGGGUAGAGCACUGUUUCGGCAAGGGGGUCAUCCCGACUUACCAACCCGAUGCAAACUGCGAAUACCGGAGAAUGUUAUCACGGGAGACACACGGCGGGUGCUAACGUCCGUCGUGAAGAGGGAAACAACCCAGACCGCCAGCUAAGGUCCCAAAGUCAUGGUUAAGUGGGAAACGAUGUGGGAAGGCCCAGACAGCCAGGAUGUUGGCUUAGAAGCAGCCAUCAUUUAAAGAAAGCGUAAUAGCUCACUGGUCGAGUCGGCCUGCGCGGAAGAUGUAACGGGGCUAAACCAUGCACCGAAGCUGCGGCAGCGACGCUUAUGCGUUGUUGGGUAGGGGAGCGUUCUGUAAGCCUGCGAAGGUGUGCUGUGAGGCAUGCUGGAGGUAUCAGAAGUGCGAAUGCUGACAUAAGUAACGAUAAAGCGGGUGAAAAGCCCGCUCGCCGGAAGACCAAGGGUUCCUGUCCAACGUUAAUCGGGGCAGGGUGAGUCGACCCCUAAGGCGAGGCCGAAAGGCGUAGUCGAUGGGAAACAGGUUAAUAUUCCUGUACUUGGUGUUACUGCGAAGGGGGGACGGAGAAGGCUAUGUUGGCCGGGCGACGGUUGUCCCGGUUUAAGCGUGUAGGCUGGUUUUCCAGGCAAAUCCGGAAAAUCAAGGCUGAGGCGUGAUGACGAGGCACUACGGUGCUGAAGCAACAAAUGCCAUGCUUCCAGGAAAAGCCUCUAAGCAUCAGGUAACAUCAAAUCGUACCCCAAACCGACACAGGUGGUCAGGUAGAGAAUACCAAGGCGCUUGAGAGAACUCGGGUGAAGGAACUAGGCAAAAUGGUGCCGUAACUUCGGGAGAAGGCACGCUGAUAUGUAGGUGAAGCGACUUGCUCGUGGAGCUGAAAUCAGUCGAAGAUACCAGCUGGCUGCAACUGUUUAUUAAAAACACAGCACUGUGCAAACACGAAAGUGGACGUAUACGGUGUGACGCCUGCCCGGUGCCGGAAGGUUAAUUGAUGGGGUCAGCGCAAGCGAAGCUCUUGAUCGAAGCCCCGGUAAACGGCGGCCGUAACUAUAACGGUCCUAAGGUAGCGAAAUUCCUUGUCGGGUAAGUUCCGACCUGCACGAAUGGCGUAAUGAUGGCCAGGCUGUCUCCACCCGAGACUCAGUGAAAUUGAACUCGCUGUGAAGAUGCAGUGUACCCGCGGCAAGACGGAAAGACCCCGUGAACCUUUACUAUAGCUUGACACUGAACAUUGAGCCUUGAUGUGUAGGAUAGGUGGGAGGCUUUGAAGUGUGGACGCCAGUCUGCAUGGAGCCGACCUUGAAAUACCACCCUUUAAUGUUUGAUGUUCUAACGUUGACCCGUAAUCCGGGUUGCGGACAGUGUCUGGUGGGUAGUUUGACUGGGGCGGUCUCCUCCUAAAGAGUAACGGAGGAGCACGAAGGUUGGCUAAUCCUGGUCGGACAUCAGGAGGUUAGUGCAAUGGCAUAAGCCAGCUUGACUGCGAGCGUGACGGCGCGAGCAGGUGCGAAAGCAGGUCAUAGUGAUCCGGUGGUUCUGAAUGGAAGGGCCAUCGCUCAACGGAUAAAAGGUACUCCGGGGAUAACAGGCUGAUACCGCCCAAGAGUUCAUAUCGACGGCGGUGUUUGGCACCUCGAUGUCGGCUCAUCACAUCCUGGGGCUGAAGUAGGUCCCAAGGGUAUGGCUGUUCGCCAUUUAAAGUGGUACGCGAGCUGGGUUUAGAACGUCGUGAGACAGUUCGGUCCCUAUCUGCCGUGGGCGCUGGAGAACUGAGGGGGGCUGCUCCUAGUACGAGAGGACCGGAGUGGACGCAUCACUGGUGUUCGGGUUGUCAUGCCAAUGGCACUGCCCGGUAGCUAAAUGCGGAAGAGAUAAGUGCUGAAAGCAUCUAAGCACGAAACUUGCCCCGAGAUGAGUUCUCCCUGACUCCUUGAGAGUCCUGAAGGAACGUUGAAGACGACGACGUUGAUAGGCCGGGUGUGUAAGCGCAGUGAUGCGUUGAGCUAACCGGUACUAAUGAACCGUGAGGCUUAACCUUACAACGCCGAAGGUGUUU